AAUGAACGCUGGCGGCGUGCUUAACACAUGCAAGUCGAACGAGGAAGGGUAGCAAUACCCGAGUACAGUGGCGAACGGGUGAGUAAUACAUGGGAAUCUGCCCUUCGGUGAAGGAUAUCCCCGAGAAAUCGGGUGUAAUCCUGCAUAAGUUUCUUCGGAAAGAAAGAUGGCCUCUUUGAUGUCGCCGUAGGAUGCGCCCAUGUGCUAUCAGCUAGUUGGUAGGGUAAAAGCCUACCAAGGCUAUGACGGCUAACCGGCCUGAGAGGGUGUACGGUCACACUGGAACUGAGACACGGUCCAGACUCCUACGGGAGGCAGCAGUGGGGAAUAUUGCGCAAUGGGCGAAAGCCUGACGCAGCGACGCCGCGUGGAGGAUGAAGGCCUUAUGGUUGUAAAGCACUUUAAGCGAGGAGGAGGCUACUUUAGUUAAUACCUAGAGAUAGUGGACGUUACUCGCAGAAUAAGCACCGGCUAACUCUGUGCCAGCAGCCGCCGUAA
rnacentral:rRNA from 1 species